AGAACGAACGCUGGCGGCAUGCUUAACACAUGCAAGUCGCACGGAAACCAGGGGCUUGCUCCUGGGGAUAGUGGCGCACGGGUGAGUAACACGUAGGUAAUGUACCGUUUGGUGUGGAAUAACUUGCCGAAAGGCGGGCUAAUACCACAUAAGUUCCCUUGAGGUUCGCCGAUGGGGAAGAAGCAGGGCAACUUGCGCCGAACGAUCAGCCUGCGUCCCAUCAGCUUGUUGGUGAGGUACGCUCACCGAAGGCGACGACGGGUAGCGUGGUCUGGAGAGGAUGAUCGAGCCACACGUGGGACUGGAGACCACCGGCCCAGACCUCCGUACGGGAGGCAGCAGGUGGGAAUUGUAGGACAAGUGGGACGAAAGCC
rnacentral:rRNA from 1 species